GACAGAGGAUGCAAGCGUUAUCCGGAAUGAUUGGGCGUAAAGCGUCUGUAGGUGGCUUUUUAAGUCUGCCGUCAAAUCCCAGGGCUCAACCCUGGAAUGCCGGUGGAUACUGUCGGGCUAGAGUCCGGAAGAGGCGAGUGGAAUUCCUGGUGUAGCGGUGAAAUGCGCAGAUAUCAGGAGGAACACCAAUGGCGAAGGCAGCUCGCUGGGACGUGACUGACGCUGAGGCACGAAAGCUAGGGGAGCAAACAGG
rnacentral:rRNA from 1 species